AGCAUCGACCAAGGGACACUAAGAGACCUAACAACCCGUGACAGUUAUUGUUAUAUAGUUGUAUGUACAUAUGUGUUUCCUACCAUUUGAUGUGUAUUGCCAAAUGAGUAAGCCUCAAAAGACAGAGGCGAAAUGCAUUUUCGCUAUUUCUAGUUUUAUUAUCUUUGCAUUAUGUCAAAUAUCUUUAUACCAAGUACACUUACCUGCUG